CUCUGAUGGCAUCUCCGGACUUGAAAGGCAAUGCCCAAGGGUAAGAGCCAAAAACAAAGGCUAAUAGAACAUGCUCGAUGAAGUAAAAUGCAAACUUCUCCUCAAGACCUGAAAGAUGCUGCAUAACCUUUUUGGGUGGCUGGUAAAGUUUCAUACAUCUUAAGGAUUUCAGUCCAGUUGUAGUCCAUCAGCAUGCCAGACAUUGCAAGCAGCUCAAACAAUUGGCUGUUUCAUUAUUUAGCACGUAGAGGUGGUGCAAUCAGCCGAAGUGCUAAAGAAAUCUUCUGAUCCAGUGGAGUGGUAGAAUCCGUAAGAGAAGAGUCGUUUGAGUUCUGUGACCAUGACAGAGACAAUGAUGAUA